rnacentral:rRNA from 1 species
GGCGGCAGGCCUAACACAUGCAAGUCGAGCGGUAGAGAGAAGCUUGCUUCUCUUGAGAGCGGCGGACGGGUGAGUAAUACCUAGGAAUCUGCCUGAUAGUGGGGGAUAACGUUCGGAAACGGACGCUAAUACCGCAUACGUCCUACGGGAGAAAGCAGGGGACCUUCGGGCCUUGCGCUAUCAGAUGAGCCUAGGUCGGAUUAGCUAGUUGGUGAGGUAAUGGCUCACCAAGGCUACGAUCCGUAACUGGUCUGAGAGGAUGAUCAGUCACACUGGAACUGAGACACGGUCCAGACUCCUACGGGAGGCAGCAGUGGGGAAUAUUGGACAAUGGGCGAAAGCCUGAUCCAGCCAUGCCGCGUGUGUGAAGAAGGUCUUCGGAUUGUAAAGCACUUUAAGUUGGGAGGAAGGGCAGUUACCUAAUACGUGAUUGUCUUGACGUUACCGACAGAAUAAGCACCGGCUAACUCUGUGCCAGCAGCCGCGGUAAUACAGAGGGUGCAAGCGUUAAUCGGAAUUACUGGGCGUAAAGCGCGCGUAGGUGGUUUGUUAAGUUGAAUGUGAAAUCCCCGGGCUCAACCUGGGAACUGCAUCCAAAACUGGCAAGCUAGAGUAUGGUAGAGGGUAGUGGAAUUUCCUGUGUAGCGGUGAAAUGCGUAGAUAUAGGAAGGAACACCAGUGGCGAAGGCGACUACCUGGACUGAUACUGACACUGAGGUGCGAAAG